CCUGGCUCAGGCAGCUCUGCUUGCUCGCUCACAGCCCAGCCCUUUCCUGGGGCCGGGGCAGGGAAUUGCUACAUGCAGGAUUACCUGGGGAAAAACCUGAGCCUCACUUAGGUCCCUUCCGGUAAUUGACACGACUGGAAGCCUGGGAGGGGGAAGGGAGAGCUUCCCUCCAUAAAUGGUCCCACCCCUGGGCAAGGUGGCUCACUCUGGCAGGUAGGAACCGGGGAGUGUGCACCUGCUACCAGUCAAGCUCAGCCCGACUGUGAGAAGAGGCAAGGCGGAGCAAGCCGAGGGACUGAAUGAACCAUGGACAAAUUGAAGUGCCCCAGCUUCUUCAAGUGCAGGGGGAAGGAGGUAGGGGUCUGGGAG
rnacentral:lncRNA from 1 species